AUGCUUAUAAUUUAAGGGUAAAAUAUCUAUCUUCGGAAUAGAGUAUAAGGGUUCGAUUCUCUUUAGGCAUU
rnacentral:tRNA from 1 species